rnacentral:rRNA from 1 species
CCUACGGGAGGCAGCAGUGGGGGAUAUUGCACAAUGGGGGAAACCCUGAUGCAGCGACGCCGCGUGUGGGAAGACGGUCCUCUGGAUUGUAAACCACUGUCCUCAGGGACCAAGAUGACGGUAUCUGGGGAGGAAACUCCGGCAAAACACGCUCCAUCAGCCGCGGCAAUAUGUUGGGAGCGAGCGUUGUCCGGAAUUACUGGGUGUAACGGGAGCGUAGCGGGGGAUGCAAGUUGGGUGUCAAAACUACCGGCUCAACUGGAGGUCGCACUCAAAACUGCAGCUCUUGAGUGAAGUAGAGGCAGGCGGAAUUCCUGGUGUAGCGGUGAAAUGCGUAGAUAUUAGGAGGAACACCAGUGGCGAAGGCGGGCUGCUGGGCUUUUACUGACGCUGAGGCUCGAAAGUGUGGGGAGCGAACAGGAUUAGAUACCCGAGUAGUC